GCAGUCGAGCGGUAACAGGAGAAGCUUGCUUCUCGCUGACGAGCGGCGGACGGGUGAGUAAUACUUAGGAAUCUACCUAGUAGUGGGGGAUAGCUCGGGGAAACUCGAAUUAAUACCGCAUACGACCUACGGGAGAAAGGGGGCAACUUGUUGCUCUCGCUAUUAGAUGAGCCUAAGUCGGAUUAGCUAGAUGGUGGGGUAAAGGCCUACCAUGGCGACGAUCUGUAGCUGGUCUGAGAGGAUGAUCAGCCACACCGGGACUGAGACACGGCCCGGACUCCUACGGGAGGCAGCAGUGGGGAAUAUUGGACAAUGGGGGCAACCCUGAUCCAGCCAUGCCGCGUGUGUGAAGAAGGCCUUUUGGUUGUAAAGCACUUUAAGCAGUGAAGAAGACUCUAGGGUUAAUACCCUUAGACGAUGACAUUAGCUGCAGAAUAAGCACCGGCUAACUCUGUGCCAGCAGCCGCGGUAAUACAGAGGGUGCAAGCGUUAAUCGGAAUUACUGGGCGUAAAGCGAGCGUAGGUGGCUUGAUAAGUCAGAUGUGAAAGCCCCGGGCUCAACCUGGGAACGGCAUCUGAUACUGUUAGGCUAGAGUAGGUGAGAGGAAGGUAGAAUUCCAGGUGUAGCGGUGAAAUGCGUAGAGAUCUGGAGGAAUACCGAUGGCGAAGGCAGCCUUCUGGCAUCAUACUGACACUGAGGUUCGAAAGCGUGGGUAGCAAACAGGAUUAGAUACCCUGGUAGUCCACGCCGUAAACGAUGUCUACUAGUCGUUGGGUCCCUUGAGGACUUAG
rnacentral:rRNA from 1 species